GAUGAACGCUAGCGGCAGGCCUAAUACAUGCAAGUCGAACGGUGUCUUCGGACAUAGUGGCGCACGGGUGCGUAACACGUAUGCAACCUACCUUACAUUGGGGGAUAGCCUUUCGAAAUGGAGAUUAAUACCGCAUAAGACAGUAGCUGGGCAUCCAACAGCUGUUAAAGAUUUAUCGAUGUAAGCUGGGCAUGCGUCCAAUUAGCUAGGUGGGGAGGUAACGGCUUCGCAAGGCAAUGGUUGGUAAGGGAACUGAGAGGUCAAUCCCCCACACUGGCACUGAGAUACGGGCCAGACUCCUACGGGAGGCAGCAGUAGGGAAUAUUGGGCAAUGGACGCAAGUCUGACCCAGCCAUGCCGCGUGCAGGAUGAAGGCGUUAUGCGUUGUAAACUGCUUUUAUACAGGAAGAAACGACUCUUGCGAGAGGCAUUGACGGUACUGUAUGAAUAAGCACCGGCUAACUCCGUGCCAGCCGCCGCAGUAAGAC
rnacentral:rRNA from 1 species